GAUGAACGCUAGCGGCAGGCUUAAUACAUGCAAGUCGUGGGGCAGCAUGAGUAGCAAUACUUGAUGGCGACCGGCAAACGGGUGCGGAACACGUACACAACCUUCCGAUAAGUGGGGAAUAGCCCAGAGAAAUUUGGAUUAAUACCCCGUAACAUAUAGAGUAGGCAUCUUCUUUAUAUUAUAGCUUCGGCGCUUAUUGAUGGGUGUGCGUCUGAUUAGGUAGUUGGCGGGGUAACGGCCCACCAAGCCUACGAUCAGUAGCUGAUGUGAGAGGAUGAUACGCCACACGGGCACUGAGACACGGGCCCGACUCCUACGGGAGGCAGCAGUAAGGAAUAUUGGACAAUGGGCGAAAGCCUGAUCCAGCCAUGCCGCGUGAAGGAUUAAGGUCCUCUAGAUUGUAAACUUCUUUUAUUUGGGACGAAAAAAGGGAAUUCUUUCCCACUUGACGGUACCAAGUGAAUAAGCACCGGCUAACUCCGUGCCAGCCGCCGCCGUAA
rnacentral:rRNA from 1 species